GUCCCUGUAACGCAAAGGAUAGCGCGUUGGACUUCUAAUCUAAAAGGUGAGGGUUCGAAUCCCUCCUGGGAUG